GCGGAUGGCCGGACGGCCGCGGGCCGAAAGGUCCGAGGAAAGUCCGGACUCCAUGAGACAACGGUGCCGGGUAACGCCCGGCCGGGGCAACCCGAGGGAAAGCGCCACAGAGAACAGACCGCCGCACCGCCCGGCCCCGCAAGGGAGACGGGCCGCGGCAAGGGUGAAACGGUGGGGUAAGAGCCCACCGCGGGACGGGUAACCGGACCGGCAUGGCAAGCCCCACCGGGAGCAAUGCCGAAUAGGGGCCUCGCGCGGGCAUGAUCGGUGUCGUCUUCGGGCGGACCGAUAUCGCCGCAGGGACGUCUCAGCCCAGAGGCCCGGGUUGGCAGCUUGACCCCGCCGGUAACGGACGGGGCAGAUGAAUGGUCGUCGCCGGGGCAACCCGGAACAGAAUCCGGCUUACAGGCCAUCCGCGCAA
rnacentral:RNase_P_RNA from 1 species